rnacentral:rRNA from 1 species
UGGGCGGGGGGUGCCUAACUAAUGCAAGUCGAGCGGUUCUAUGUUUAACACUGAAUAUUCUAAAUAAAGUAUGCUGGUUAAAGCCAGCGUCUUGCGAAAUUACGAAGUAAUGAAGCAAACGCGUCUUUCAAAAAGUGCCAACACAUACAUAAGACUAGAGUAUUGAGUGUUAAACAUAGGAUAGCGGCGGACGGGUGAGUAACGCGUGGGCAACCUGCCUUUCACAGGGGGAUAACACAGGGAAACUUGUGCUAAUACCGCAUAACACAACGAGAUAGCAUUUUCUUGUUGUCAAAGGAGCAAUCCGGUGAUUGAUGGGCCCGCGUCCAAUUAGCUAGUUGGUGAUGUAACGGACCACCAAGGCGACGAUUGGUAGCCGAACUGAGAGGUUGAUCGGCCACAUUGGGACUGAGACACGGCCCAGACUCCUACGGGAGGCAGCAGUGGGGAAUAUUGCACAAUGGGGGAAACCCUGAUGCAGCAACGCCGCGUGAAGGAUGAAGGUUUUCGGAUUGUAAACUUCUUUAGUCAGGGACGAAUAAAUUGACGGUACCUGAAGAAUAAGCCACGGCUAACUACGUGCCAGCAGCCGCGGUAAUACGUAGGUGGCAAGCGUUGUCCGGAAUUACUGGGUGUAAAGGGCGUGUAGGCGGGAAUGUAAGUCAGAUGUGAAAUCCCAGAGCUUAACUCUGGAGCUGCAUCUGAAACUAUGUUUCUUGAGUGUCGGAGAGGAAAGCGGAAUUCCUAGUGUAGCGGUGAAUGCGUAGAUAUUAGAGGACACCAGUGGCGAACGCGGCUUUUCUGGACGAUAACUGACGCCUGAGGCGCCGAAAGCCGUUGGGGGGAGCC